UAGAUAUUAAAUAAUUUGGGUGACAGA
rnacentral:sRNA from 1 species